ensembl:lncRNA
AGAGUAACAGAAGGAACAUCAUAUGGAAGUUUGUCAGGACCUAUUGAACCAAUACAAGGCUGAAGGUGACAGUUUCUUAGACCACAUCAUUAUCAGUGAUGAGACAUGAUGUCACCACUACAAGCCAGAGUCAAAACAGAAGUCCAUGAUGUGGUGGCAUGUGAAUUACUCACCAUAUAAAAAGUUCAAGACAAAGCCCUCAGUUGGUAAAGUGAUAUGCACUGCCUUUUGAGACAGGAAAGGAGUGAUCCUUCUAGAUUUCCUGGAACCUGGACAAAUCGUCAACUCUGACCACUACAUUGUGAUGUUGACUAAGCUGAAGACUCAAACUUCCAGAAUGAGGCCAGAGAUCAAGAUAACCUGAUGAACAAGAUGGCUGCAUGAUAAUGCCAGGCUCCAUACCAUUUUUAAAACUGUGGAUCAUGUUGCCAGUCCUGUGUGGAUGUGCAUUUCUCAGGGCACAGAAUGGAACCAGAUUGUGCUCUUCUUCAGAGUAAGGACUUCCUUCACCAACACUGUAAGUUUUCAUACAUUCUUGAAGAUAAUCCAAAACAGACAUCUUGUUUUUUAACGGUUUGCAGACAUACCAAAAUGUAAUUACAUAAUAUAAUUAUCAAUGUCAUUAUCUCAGGAGAUAUCUCAAGAAAACCUUGCUGUAGGACAGGGUGAAGAGAAAAAAAGCAGUCACAGUUUAUUUCUGGCUACUUGUAUCUGGUUUAUGGAACCAAGAGAAAGGAGAAACAUUGACAAGAAGGACAUGAUUUAUUUCAGGAGAGAGAAGGGUCUGAUGCUUUCUUAAGCUUUCUCUUUCAUAUGUUAAUUUAUUCUGCCUUGAGAAUGUAUCCAAGAUUUUGCAAGCAUGCAGUGAUAUGCUACAGGGGAAAAUGCAAGAGAGAAAAGGUAGAUCUUGAGAGAACAAUGAAAGAGAACACCAUUCCUGAAAAGAAAAUACUGGGUGAACUUUUUUUUUUUUUUUUUUUUUUUUUUUAAGACAUAUGCAUAUCAAUCAAACUUCGUAGGAAAGGAACUGGGAAAAUUGCCCGUUACAGAGAAAAUGUCACAUCUGCUUCUGGCUCCUGUUCCUCUCUGCUCCUCUCACUUUCCCGUAAAUUGGAAAAUACCCUAAUGUGAUUCCCUUUCCAGGUACCUGUCUGGAAGAGAAGAAGAACUACGUUCCCUAAGAGCCUUUUCAAGUACUGUUAUCAUUCCUGCUCAAGGGAACAGAUAUAAGGGCGCAGGUCAUCUGACUCUUCCCUCUUCUCAUCUCGCCGUGUUCCCUGCCGGAUCGGCUCACUACUGCUGCUCCCAACUGCACACAAGGCUUCAAGUAUUGGUGUAAGGCCUUCGGCUCUCGGACAAUCUUUCUCUCAAUUAUUGUUGAUUUAUAUUGUAUUAUAGUGUGUUAUCUUACAUUCCGAUACUAUAUUUAGUAAAUUAGUUUGUUUCUCCUCAGAUUGUUGCCGCUGUUUUUAAUUAUUUUGGGGUCCCCUGUUUCCCUUCCUGGAGGCACGGAUUUUGCAAAAUCCCUCCGCCCCACUAGUCACGGAACCGGGCCAGACCAGCCCUUAAACCAUUGACAGUGCACCAUCCCAAAGCCCCAGUUUUAUAGAAAUAGUGACUCGGAAUUGUAACACCAGUAGAGCUUCUUAGGCCCCUAGGUAUCCCAGGGCUUUCAAGAAGGCUCUUGGCUCUGUGAGAUCUAUAUAUUCAACAAAC